CCUACGGGAGGCAGCAGUAGGGAAUAUUGCUCAAUGGGGGAAACCCUGAAGCAGCAACGCCGCGUGGAGGAUGAAGGUUUUCGGAUUGUAAACUCCUUUUGUUAGAGAAGAUAAUUACGGUAUCUAACGAAUAAGCACCGGCUAACACCGUGCCAGCAGCCGCGGUCAUACGGAGGGUGCAAGCGUUACUCGGAAUCACUGGGCGUAAAGAGCGCGUAGGCGGGAUAGCAAGUCAGAUGUGAAAACCUAUGGCUUAACCAUAGAACUGCAUUUGAAACUGUUAAUCUAGAGUAUGGGAGAGGUAGGUGGAAUUCUUGGUGUAGGGGUAAAAUCCGUAGAGAUCAAGAGGAAUACUCAUUGCGAAGGCGACCUGCUAGAACAUAACUGACGCUGAUGCGCGAAAGCGUGGGGAGCAAACAGGAUUAGAUACCCCAGUAGUC
rnacentral:rRNA from 1 species